CAGAAGCUCCCGUGCCACAGCCUGCUGGAGAGGCAUAACAGCUAGCCUCCUACCCACAGACUAUAGGCCUGGUCAUAGACUUUUAAAUGAUAUAUAGGAUGUGGGGGUACAUUGUGUUAAUGUUGAGUUAUUAUGUAAAAUGUUGAGCUGGAUGAAAGCUAUUGGGUUAAUUGUAUUAUGUAAAAGAUUUUGUGCUAUGUGUCUUAGUGUCCAGCAGGAAAUUAAGUUAUCAUGUCUUGACCCAAUUAUGUCCCAG